CAGCAGCAUCCGUGUUCACAGGCUGUUUCCAGGGUGUUCAUCUGGCUCCAAGAGCGUCCUGUGGAAUUCCCGGGGAGGCUCCCAGACGCCCCAUCCUUAGAAAAGGCCUGGAAGAAGUGUACAAAUGGAGGAGGAUGGUAAAUUAAGCAGCAGCUGUGACUCCCUGCAGAGAGCUGAGGAUACCCACGUCAGAGUCUCCCAACAGAAGAGAACUUUCUGGUGGCAACAUGGAAGACAGAGAAGAACUGGCAGAGAGACAAGUGACUGGGAAAACUUUUAGCAGGCAUUGCUCAGGGGUGACUAAGAGUCUGAAGUGAGGCUUGUAGGAUUGAUGACCUAUUUACUAUAAGGGGGCUGAGGAUUCCAGUUAGAAAGAUGUGUGCACUGGGAUGAAGAAGAGAGGCGGGGGUGAGGGAGAGAGGGUGACAGGGGAUGCAGGGCGUUCUUGUUUCAAAAUAUUGAGAGGCUGCAGACGUUCAGCAGGAGCUGUACGCAGGCAGCUCAGCGCCCGGGCCCCAGCCCAGGCCUGACGCCGUGGGCCAAGCACACGCGGCAUCUUGCAUCUGUGGCCACACGGGACACUAAAAAUCCAUGUCAUGAAGACGGAAGGAAAAGGAAUUCAUUAGUCUUUUACCCAUUUCUCUGAUCCACUGUCUGCUUCUUGAAAAAAAAAAAAAAAAAUCAAAGGACUGAAAACUCAAGACUAAGCCAGAUAAAAUCUGGGUUUGGCCUCCCAUUGUAACUGAAAAUUUUCACUUUGCCCUAUGCUGGAGCAUAGAUUUGAAGUUAUUCAAAUCUUUCCAAAUAUGAAAGAAUAAAAAUCCACUUAUGCAUGAAAAGUGGUACUAGCCCUGAGAGAAAGUUUAAGCUACAGCAACCUUGGAACUGUUGUGGAAAAUACAUAUUCAGAUUUUUAGCAACGUUUUAAAAAAUAAUAAAAGAAAACCCGGCGGAGUGUUUGGUGGAAUAAAACUAUAAAAAACAGACCAGCAAAUGCCCAUCUCUGCAUCUCUGUGUCUAAAGGGCAGAUGAGAGAGAGCUCAUCCCACACUCAAUCCCCCAACUUCUUUCUUUUUUCUUUGAGGUAUGGUCGACAUGCAAAAAGGUGAACAUAUUUAACAUCUACAACUUGAUGAGUUUAGAAAUACAUAUACACCGUGAAGCCAUCACCACAAUAUAUGCCAUAAACCUAUCCAUCACCUCCAAGCAUUUCCUCCUGCCCUCUGAAUUUGUGAUGACACAACAUAAGACCUCCACUCAGCAAAUUUGCCAACCUGAAGCAGGGCUGAUCCCUUUCGGGACCCUCGACCACAAGCCCCCAUGGAGGCAAGUUCUGAGGGGGUGCGUGUGUGAAGCCAGGCAAAGCUCUGAAAUGCCACCUCCCCUGGUCCUCCUCACCCCAGCUUUGGUACCAGUUCCUUCCACCUUGAUAGGUACACAGAGGUGUUAACAUUUGGAAAAUCUCAGGGUAAAAAGUUCUCCUUCGGGCUUCCCUGGUGGCGCACUGGUUGAGAGUCCGCCUGCCGAUGCAGGAGACGGGUUCGUGCCCCGGUCCGGGAGGAUCCCACAUGCCGCGGAGCGGCUGGGCCCGUGAGCCAUGGCCGCUGAGCCUGCGCGUCCGGAGCCUGUGCUCCGCAACGGGAGAGGCCACAACAGUGAGAGGCCCGCGUACCGCAAAAAAAAAAAAAAAAAGUUCUCCUUCUAUUAUAGAGUUUGAGGCACUAGCAACUAGGAGAUGGGGAGAAACCAACACCAGCAUGGCACUGCUCAGGGCCCGACGUGACAGGUGAGUCCAGCCCCCAAAUGGCCAAAACCCCAUCAAGGAGGUGGUGAUGGUGAGAAUGAAAAGAGGGUCUCCUAUUAAAGAAAACGUGGCAUGUGGAGUACCCACUUCCUGCUGAUUUCCCUAAUCAAACAUUAGGAACAGUUGUCAGGAGGCAAAGGCAAAAUCUCACCAAAAAUUCAAGUGUCUGCUGCCACAUGCUCAGGAAAGGCCUUAAAGUCUUUAGAUGUCAGGAAUGUCAGAAUCUGAAACCCAUGAAGAAGCUUAAAUCUUAAAGCUGGCUCCUAAUCCUUCACGGGGUUUGCCUCGAUGACUGUACCUCUGCAGUGGUGCAGAGGAGAGCGUGGCAGGCACAGGAAAUGCUCUUUUGGUUUUAGGCAAAUCCUUUCCCACACAUACUCUGCCAUCUCUGUCAUCUGAAGCCUAUCUCUUAUCUACAGAGUCAAAUGAAUCUUCAGACAAACCUCCAAACAGGCAUCCUCUGAGGAUGGCAGCUCACAGGAGGUUCCUCUCCUUAGUGGAAACCCUGCAUCCUAUCCUUUUAGGACUCAGCUUAACUCCCUCAUUCUCUCCCAAGGUACACUCUUACAGACUCCAGACAGCUCUUCCAACUUCCCCCAGUAGAGCUGGAAGAUGGGCAAGGAUGCAGGCUGUCUGUCUUGAAAGUUAGGACUCAGCUGACACAGUGUGAAUACGGAAGAUUUCCAGGCAGUGGAAACUUUAUAACGAGACAUGCUGAUUCUCUGACUAACACAGCUGGCCUCAGCUCCAUUUCCGAAAUUGGUGGAGGAGCCGCUGAAGGUCCAGGCUGCUGCACGGUCCAGCUUCCAAAAGAAUAAGUCUUCUUUCCGAGCCACAAGUCUGUGGAAAUGGGGACGAGCUUUCUCCAAACUCUGUGGGCAGAAGUGCUUGACAUGAAGCCAGCCCCA